CUUGGUCUCACCCUGCACCUCAUUAUCUGUGACCCUGUCCCCCCCACCCAUCCCACUGCACUCCGGUCUCCUGUCCCCCGGGAUGGGGACGGGGACGGCUGUAACGGGGGUUUUGCCCUGGCACAGGUCGUCGGUGGAGGUCCUGCCGGAGGAGCUGGGCUUGCCGGGCCCCUACGGGUGUGGGAGCAAUGGGACCAGCUUCGAGGAUGACCUGACCCUGGGAGCUGAAGCUCUUCUGCUGCCGGGGAGCUACAAGGCCAUGGGCAGGACCCUGCAGGACAAGCACCUUCACCG